rnacentral:lncRNA from 1 species
AUGAAAAUAGAAGAAAACAGCGGGCCGGACGCGAAGACGUGAAAAUAGCUGCUGCAUGCUAAGUUUUCUGCAUGCGUUAUAAUAUUGACUGGCUGCAGUUUUUCAUGGUUAUUGUCAUUCAAUAACGUACAGGUGUAAAACUAUAUAUGAAUUUGUUUUGAACAAUAUUGUCUAUUGACUUUCGUAUACUCGGUAUUUAUAUACAGCCUACGUCACGACGCACAUGACUGACGAUUAGGUAUAUAGUCAGUUAGUGCUAACGUGUUUGUCAGACAGCAAAACAAGGUGAUUUUGUACAAAAACGAAAAUCCAAUAAAAUCGAAUUGAAAA